rnacentral:rRNA from 1 species
GAUGAACGCUAGCGGCAGGCCUAAUACAUGCAAGUCGGACGGGAUUUGGGAGCUUGCUCCUAAUGAGAGUGGCGCACGGGUGCGUAACACGUAUGUAACCUACCUUAAUCAGGGGGAUAGCCUCUCGAAAGAGAGAUUAACACCGCAUAAUAUAUUUUUAUGGCAUCGUAGAAAUAUCAAAUAUUUAUAGGAUUAAGAUGGGCAUGCGGAACAUUAGCUAGUUGGUAAGGUAACGGCUUACCAAGGCUACGAUGUUUAGGGGAUCUGAGAGGGUGACCACCCACACUGGUACUGGGAGACGGACCAGACUCCUACGGGAGGCAGCUGUAAGGAAUAUGGGUCAAUGGGCGAAAGCCUGAACCAGCCAUGCCGAGUGCAGGAAGACGGCCCUAUGGGUUGUAAACUGCUUUUGUACCGGAAUAAACCCUUUUACGUGUAAGAGGCUGAAUGUACGGUAAGAAUAAGGAUUGGCUAACUCCGUGCCAGCCGCCGCCGUAA